rnacentral:rRNA from 1 species
AACGAACGCUGGCGGCAUGCCUAACACAUGCAAGUCGAACGAGACCUUCGGGUCUAGUGGCGCACAGGUGCGUAACGCGUGGGAACCUGCCCUUAGGUUCGGAAUAACUCCCCGAAAGGGGUGCUAAUACCGGAUAAUGUCUUCGGACCAAAGAUUUAUCGCCUUUGGAUGGGCCCGCGUUGGAUUAGCUAGUUGGUAGGGUAAAAGCCUACCAAGGCGACGAUUCAUAGCUGGUCUGAGAGGAUGAUCAGCCACACUGGGACUGAGACACGGCCCAGACUCCUACGGGAGGCAGCAGUGGGGAAUAUUGGACAAUGGGCGAAAGCCUGAUCCAGCAAUGCCGCGUGAGUGAUGAAGGCCUUAGGGUUGUAAAGCUCUUUUACCCGGGAUGAUAAUGACAGUACCGGGAGAAUAAGCUCCGGCUAACUCCGUG